AAACCCUGAGUCAGAAGCACCCAGCUGAGUACCUCCUGGUUCCCUGAGCCACCGAAGCUGAGGGGAGCGAAGAUUGUGCCUCUAAGAAACACUCCUCAGACGACCCAGCUGGAUGGGAACAUCUAUUUCCCGUCAGGCCCACACCUGGAACGACCCUCCCCUCCCGUGAAGUCACGGCCGCUGCUGUCGUCGGAAGGGACUUUCCCAGGUGGAGAAAUCUGGAAGCAGCUUUCGCUUUUCUCCCUGGGGCAUCCUCCCUCCGCAGCAGCGGGGACUGGUGGAACUUUUCCUCAAGCGAAAUCAGAUGAAGCCCAGGCAGCCACGUCUGUUCCUGGCAGCGAUCCCGCCGCAGGAUCCCCUGAACUUCCAGCGAUCCCCUGAACUUCCAGUCCGCACACCUGCCGGGUCCUGUGGGAUCCGGGGCAGCACCAGCCAGGGUCCUGGCGCCCUGGGCCAGGCCCGGAGCCUGCCUUUGUUUAAAAGCUUGACGUUUUGGAGUUCCCAUUGUGGCUCAGCAGCUGAAGGACCCGACGUCGCAUCCUGGGACAGAAGCUGAGGCAAGACUGGGCGGGGGAGGGGGGGGAGAGGCGAGUCCACAAGGGCCCAGAGCGGCCAAAGCAGGGCCCUGACAGGUCCCUUCCCCAAGACUGAAGGUGGCCGAGAAAAUUCGUGUCUCCAAAGGGACGAACAUGAAUGUAAGCUAAGAUCUGAGCCCCUGGAGGCUCAGCCGUUGACACUGGGGUGUGUUUCCUGGAAAAGAGCCUUUGCAACCGUGAGCCCCCUGCCCUGGGCCCCAGUCCUGGUGACACCCCCGGAGCAGGAGGGGCCGCCGUCGCCAUGCGGACAGCUGCCUCCUGUCCCUGCCCCCCUUCACCCCAACACCAGCCCCUGAGGCCUUGCGUUUGGGAGGCGGUGCCCGAAACGGGACAGAUGUGGCCCUGGAGGCAGCCGAGUCAACUGCCUGAGCACACGGUGGCCUGUGGCGAGCUCGCUGCUGGGGUUCGCUGUCUAAAGGGGGCCCCAGACCUCCACAGGGGCCUCUUUGGUCAUCAGGAUCUUGUCCCUGGGUGCCGCCUGGCCAGGUCUCGCCAUGGGGACCCCUUGCUUGAGGACAUGAGCCAGGUCUGAGGACUUGGGGUGAGUGGGACACGCCAGCCCUGGGCUGCAGGGGACAUGGGGGUCCAGGGGGAGCUGUGGUGGCAUCACACGGCCUGCCAGGGGCUAUGGUGGGAGAUAAUGGAGCUGGGUGUGGUGGAGCAGGCUCAGCAGGCCUCCUGGAGGAGGCGACAUGGGUGACGCAUCUGGAGGAACAUGUAAUACUUGUCAGGGGAGGAGGCUAGAUGCCUCUCGGGCAGGAGAGGGUGUGUGAAUGGGCGGGGGUCCCGGGCGUUGGUGGGGCCGGGAGCAGAGCUUAGGGAGCUGGGGGGGCAACAGAGGGGCUGCCCAGAGUCUGCUUCCCAGACCUCAGGGUGGGCAUGAGGUGUGAUGUCACAGCCUCACGAAGAAAAGUAACUUCACCAGCUCAUUGGGUAAUUGGCUAUUUUAAAACUGGCCUUGGGAGUUCCCAUUGUGGCUCAGUGGAAAUGAACCCAACUAGUAUCCAUGAGGACGCAGGUUCUCUCCCUGGCCUCGCUCAGUGGGUUAAGGAUCUGAUGUUGCUGUGAGCUGUGGUGUAGGUUGCAGACGCAGCUCGGAUCCCGCAUGGCUGUGGCUGUGGUGUAGGCUGGUGCCUUCAGCUCCGAUUCGACCCCUAGCCUGGGAACCUCCAUAUGUCGCGGGUGUGGCCCUAAAAAGACAAAAAGAUAGAAAAGAAGGAAAGAAAUCGUUCUGGAGGCUUCUGAGACCUUGGGGCUCCUCGUUACCUCAGCACGCCCUCACCUGUGGUGACUGAUGAGGGCCGCGUGCCCCACCGACCGUUGUUCUAGAAGCAGAAACGCACCCCGUCCCUCGCCCUCCGCCACCCGGCACAGACAGUCACCGGGCAGAAGCGCAGGGCUCUCUCUGCCCUGCCCGCCCAGUCACCUGCGCCCACACCUGGCUGGGCCCCCGUGGGUCUCGGCCCCACUGGCCUUUAGAAGGACGAGGACAGGGUACUGGGUGCCCUGGCCACCUCCCCUUCCUGCACACUCAGGGACCCCGCCUUGGCCCCUCCUUUUCCGGCUCAGACACUGUCCCCAAGCUGGUGUGACAGGCCCAUGAAGACGGGCCAUGCAGCCCCGGCCCCAGCGCUUUGUCCAGGCCAAUCUCUCCACCCAACGCUCACACCUCUCUCCCCGCCCACCCUGUGGCGGGGCUGGGGUGCUGCUCUAAAAGGGGUACCUCUCAUGGUUGUGUGAGUGAUGGGCUCCCUCAUUCGGGGAGGCCCAGGAAACGGACAGAACAAUGCAAAUCAACUACGACGGAAAA
rnacentral:lncRNA from 1 species